GGCCAGAUAGCUCAGUUGGUAGAGCACCUGACUAGGGAUUCAGGGGGUCUGGGUUUCGAAUCCCGGUCUGGUCC